rnacentral:rRNA from 1 species
AUUGAACGCUGGCGGCAGGCCUAACACAUGCAAGUCGAACGGUAACAGGAAGACGCUUGCUUCUUUGCUGACGAGUGGCGGACGGGCGAGUAAUGUCUGGGAAACUGCCUGAUGGAGGGGGAUAACUACUGGAAACGGUAGCUAAUACCGCAUAACGUCGCAAGACCAAAGAGGGGGACCUUCGGGCCUCUUGCCAUCGGAUGUGCCCAGAUGGGAUUAGCUAGUAGGUGGGGUAACGGCUCACCUAGGCGACGAUCCCUAGCUGGUCUGAGAGGAUGACCAGCCACACUGGAACUGAGACACGGUCCAGACUCCUACGGGAGGCAGCAGUGGGGAAUAUUGCACAAUGGGCGCAAGCCUGAUGCAGCCAUGCCGCGUGUAUGAAGAAGGCCUUCGGGUUGUAAAGUACUUUCAGCGGGGAGGAAGGGAGUAAAGUUAAUACCUUGGCUCAUUGACGUUACCCGCAGAAGAAGCACCGGCUAACUCCGUG